rnacentral:rRNA from 1 species
CUUGCUCUUUCCGGAUGAGUUGCGAACGGGUGAGUAACGCGUAGGUAACCUGCCUGGUAGCGGGGGAUAACUAUUGGAAACGAUAGCUAAUACCGCAUAACAGUAGAUAUCGCAUGAUAGCUGCUUGAAAGGUGCAACUGCACCACUACCAGAUGGACCUGCGUUGUAUUAGCUAGUUGGUGAGGUAACGGCUCACCAAGGCAACGAUACAUAGCCGACCUGAGAGGGUGAUCGGCCACACUGGGACUGAGACACGGCCCAGACUCCUACGGGAGGCAGCAGUAGGGAAUCUUCGGCAAUGGACGGAAGUCUGACCGAGCAACGCCGCGCGAGUGAAGAAGGUUUUCGGAUCGUAAAGCUCUGUUGUAAGAGAAGAACGAGUGUGAGAGUGGAAAGUUCACACUGUGACGGUAUCUUACCAGAAAGGGACGGCUAACUACGUGCCAGCAGCCGCGGUAAUACGUAGGUCCCGAGCGUUGUCCGGAUUUAUUGGGCGUAAAGCGAGCGCAGGCGGUUAGAUAAGUCUGAAGUUAAAGGCUGUGGCUUAACCAUAGUACGCUUUGGAAACUGUUUAACUUGAGUGCAAGAGGGGAGAGUGGAAUUCCAUGUGUAGCGGUGAAAUGCGUAGAUAUAUGGAGGAACACCG